rnacentral:sRNA from 1 species
UUCUCUCCGUAACGGAGAGAACGAAACAACAUUAAUGCACGACUCUGAUGAGGAAGGAGCUGGUACACUGUAUAACAGGCAAUUAAGAUUCAUUAGGCUCAUUCGGAGAAAGUGUAGGGCAUCCGUGAGCUUGUUUUGCCGACCAAGGCGGAUUCCCAAACAAAGGUAGACAUGUGAUGCCUGGUGACCUACUUCUCUCCAAAAUGAGACAGAACCUGGGGAACAGGUCCCAGGGUUGGCAGCACCAUCAGAACUUAGUCUCUGUCUCUUGGACUCUUGUGAGGAGGACUCUGAAGAGGAGCAGGGUCAGAUUUCUCCUCCGAUGAUGCCAACCUUUUCCUUUUUCCCUGGGAACAUGAGACUUUACACUCUUCUAUGGAUGUCUCCUGAGAGGAACGGUUUCCGAAUGCAAAUGACCCCAUACAAGCUCUAGCUUGUGUAGAAGUCUCCUGAGAAUGAGUGGGUUCCUGAGAAUGCUGGGAAAGGAUGCUUGAAAGGUCAAGGACACUUGUUGGUUGGCAUGACAACACACGUUCACACAAGACUUCACACUGAUGAUAUUUCUUAGCUUUCAAUAAGGAGACUAUUGUAGACCUAUAGAUGUCAGAUAUGGAUGGUAUGUUUAACAUUUCACAGCCUCUCAUCUGAAACAAAUAUGGACUUUUAUUAUGAAAAAAAUUUCUCAACAACUGAGACACAUCUGGCAUUGUCAAUUUGCGGCAGUAAAUUAGCCUCGUUCAUCACAUUAAUUUUAGAAUUAUAUGAUGUUUCACCUUGAGAUUUUGUGUAUGAACAUUAAUGUAAAAUACACACAUCAAGCUUUAUAAAUAAUUAUGGUUAUUGGAACUGUUUUUAGGACAAAUUUGUAUUAGCUAGUUUGUAUGCUAUGAGCAUAGCUUGAUAUUAACAAAUGUAUACUUGGUAUAUAUAAUAAAGAACUGAAUUGAC